rnacentral:ncRNA from 1 species
CAAGGGGAACCGAAAACCUUUUAAAAGAGUAGGAA